ensembl:lncRNA
CCGGGGGGCUGUGAGGAGCAGGCCCGGGGGUCUUGAGGAGCAGGCCCGGGGACCAUGAGGAGCAGGCCCGGGGGCCUUGAGGAGCAGGCCCGGGGGCCUUGAGGAGCAGGCCCGGGGGUCUUGAGGAGCAGGCCCGGGGGGCUGUGAGGAGCAGGCCCGGGGGUCUUGAGGAGCAGGCCCGGGGGGCUGUGAGGAGCAGGCCCGGGGGUCUUGAGGAGCAGGCCUGGGGGCGCCGCGAGGAGCAGGCCCGGGGGUCUUGAGGAGCAGGCCCGGGGGGCUGUGAGGAGCAGGCCCGGGGGCCAUGAGGAGCAGGCCCGGGGGGUCUUGAGGAGCAGGCCCGGGGGUCUUGAGGAGCAGGCCCGGGGGGCUUGAGGAGCAGGCCCGGGGGGCUGUGAGGAGCAGGCCCGGGGGUCUUGAGGAGCAGGCCCGGGGGGCUGUGAGGACAGCUCAUUUUGGCCAUGGCUUCCCACAGCACGUGCAUCCCGAGUCCUGGUCAGUCAACCUCUGUCUUUGGCACUAGUUCUGUUGAUCAGAAAUACACGGCCAGAUAUUUCUCCAGCAAAAAUGAGUUUAUUGCAGAGAAUUGCAAUUUGGGGUUUGCAACCACGGUGAGCCACACAUAAAAGUGAAGAGGCAGUUGGCAUGCUUAUAAUAAAUAGGAGUCUGUGGCUUUUCACCCCCUAAGCCUCGCCCAGGAACGAAGAGGUGUCCUUGUGCUUCCGUCAGGCUCUGCUGCGGCUGCAGGCUGUGAGGGCGCCCUCUUCUGGUCUCCUGUCUCUACUUAAUUCAGGUUUCUGGUUUUUUUUUUUUUCUCUUUGCAGUUUAAAAAAAAAUCAGACUGACGUCUUCCUCUUUUCUUCAUGGAUGCUUAGAUUUUAUUUUGAAUGUUUAUUUAUUUCGCUGCACUAGGUCUCAGUUAAAGCACGCAGGGUGCUUAAUGCUGACUCUUGGUUGUGGCAUGUGGGAUCUCGUUCCUUGACAAGGUAUCCAACUUGGGCCCCCUGCACUGGGAGCUCGGGUGUCUUAGCCACAUGGACCACCAGGGAAGUCCUCAUUUGCUCAUAGUUCUGAGAUAUACUUGCUGGUGUUAGAGACGCUCCUUUUGCCGGAGAGAAGUUCACUUCUGGGGCAGGUGAUUUAAAAUGCAAACUCAUUGUAUCUAUGGGUGUGGAAGGCAGGAGAGGAUGACCGAUGCUGAUCCCAUUUGGCCACUCAUGAGCUAAUGACCCUGCCCGCUUUCCCCUGUAGUUUCUGUCUCCUCUUUGUCAUGGCGUUUCUUCUAAACUCAGCAUGGGCAGGGUCUGCCCGGCCUUUUCUUCUCUUGGAAGGAUUACUGAGUGUGGAGAACCUGCCUCCCUCCCAAAGAUGAGAAGCACAACCCUUGGGAGGAAGAAGGACCGAAAGUGAGGUCAGCUCGUCUGACCAGGAGCCUGAGAAACUCGAAGGCUGCUUUGCUGAGUCGGAGCGUUAGCUAGCCUCCUCUAUUUGUGCAAACUCCUUGGAGUUUGGUUGCAAAUGGUCCGGCACCUUCUUGUGGCUUGUGAAAUGGGGAAUGUGGGCAGCGUUCAGCAGAGACUGAGGGCCACGGCUGGGGGAGCCCCCAUGGGCCUUUCAUGCCUGGCCGUUGCAACCUUUAAUCUGGGGACAGCUGUGGCAUGGUUGGUGUUAUUUGGGGUUUUGGCUUUAAGAGAAUCUGGGAUGAUGUCUUUGUUAUUUCACAGAAACUAGCAGCCUCAGCUGGCAUGUCAGGGAGUGGUGCUGAUCAUCCUGGGUUUGCCCAACACCUUUCCAGGACAGUGGGGUUGGGGAAGGGAGUGUGGUCAGUUUGCUGACCUGCAAACACUGACUGUGGGUGCCUUGCAUGCCUGGUCAAGAAUUUUCCCAGGCUCAGGGCAUGUGUCCAUUUGACAGAAUAACACAGAUGACCUUCAUCGCUUGUUCCCCAAAGAAGCAGCUUCCUGGUUUGUUUUCUAGUGAGGAAGAAAGAGAAAUUUGGUCCUCUAGAAUCUGGCUAGACCCUGCAGGGUGACACACGUCUGUACUCACGUCUGCAGUGUUCCUUCCUUCUGACUCUCACAGACUCAUCUUUCUCCCUUGAAGGACGGAUGCUCAUGGCUCAUCAGGGGUCCUUCGUUUUAUUUCUGGGUAAUCUCUAACCAUCACACUGGCCUUUCUUGGGCAGUCCGGAAACUCACAGGGUUGAUCCUUUGGGCGAUGUUUCCCCCUGGGGAACCUGUCCUCUUGUGGGGUCCACUCCCCUGUGGGGGGAUGGAAUGCAUCUGUCCGGGGUGGAAUGCUUUAUAUCUGUCUGUUUCUCCAGGGAUGUCCCAGAGUCCAGGUUAUGGGUCCCGUUCCGGCUUUCUGAUGGUGUGUCCUGAUACAGACCCCCUUGUUCUAGAAGUGAUGGGAUACCAUGGAAUCCCUCCUAGCCUCUGAUUCCAUGUAACCACAAACUUCUACCGGAACAGAGGUGCAGACAGCAUGUUCAGUAAAGAAGGACAGGGGCUGAGAUGUAGACUGAAUUUUUUAUGGAACGGAGGUGAGGAACUUUUAAAUGUAUUGAGAUAAGGUUUGUGUGAAAGAUAGUGAAGCCGCUCAGUCGUGUUCGACUCUUUGCGACCCCGUGGACUGUAGCCCGCCAGGCUCCUCUGUCCGUGGGAUUCUCCAGGCAAGAGUACUGGGGUGGGCUGCCAUUUCCUUCUCCAUGUGAAAGUUAAGGCACCCAGAGUCUGUCUGGGGCUUGUCCCUGUCUUUGUGGGCAUCAGGGCGGUUCCUCGUUAUUGCUGGGUGGCUUUGCACUGUACGAACGUACCACCACUCGCCUUUCUUUACUCACCAGAUAAUGGACAUCAAAGAUGUUUCCAGUUUGGGGUGAUAGGGAAUAAAGCUGUUGAGGGCAUUCACAUACAGGUCUUUGUGAGGACUUCUCUUUUCGUUUCUCUUGGGUCUGCUGGAGCCCAGGGUAGAUGUUAUGUUUAAUUUUGUAAGAUAAUGCCUAACUGUUUUUCAAGGUGACUGGAACAAUUUGUUUCCCAAAUGGGUACUUAUAGUCCAGGACAUGUAACUGGUCUUCCUGACAUCCACGGGUUUCUAUCUGUGCAAUGAUUUUCGAGAAGUUUAUCGGAUCCCACAUGUAAUUAAGGUAUGUCAUGGCUUUUAGGGAAAAGAUGAUUACAUAUCUCUGGAUGUCUUGAACUCUGAGUGCCGUACGAAUGUCUGUGUUGUCCUCCCAAGGGAACCAAACACUUCUCGCCACAGUCCGAGUAUGAGUCAGGCCUUAUGAGGAUCCUUCCAGCACACACGUGUCCGCUUUGUGUGUGUACCUCAAAUGAGAGUUUCAAGUUCAUCCUUGUUGAGAUCAUGCCUGCGGGCGAGAGGGAAAAAUCUCUGAGGCUGUCAAAUCAGGUGGGAAGUGAUGUCGUGCUGAACUGUUUUGUUUCCUGACCUUUAUCUCAUGUGAGGUGGGGGCAGGCUGGGUCAAGUUUAAAUCUGAGAUGACAAGUGUCUGAGGCUAAGCAAGGUUUCUGCUAAAAGUGCUUGCUUGGGGUCAAUGACUCUGUGUCUCACACCUGGUGAAAACUGACUCCCAGUUGAAAAAAAGAGCUAUGGGCCCGAAACACUUGACUUGGCUUUGGACUUGAACGUCCUGGAUGUUUUACAGCCCUUUGGGGGGAGUUGAGGGCAUCCUGUUUGCAUGCAGCACCUGAGUCGCUGCUGUAUUUUUUUUUUUUUUUUUUUUCCUGGCACUCGGGCUUAGUUGCUCCAUGGCACGUGGGAUCUUCCCGGAUCAGGGGUCAAAUCCAAGUCACCUGCAUGAGCAGGUGGAUUCUCCACCACUGAGCCACCAGAGAAGCCCCAAGCACUGUCUUUCAGAAGCCCCUUGCUCAUUGUGCCUUUCUACCUUCCAAAGUGUGAAAUGGUUGCUUCUUUUGAAAUCAGUUUUGCCAAUUUAUUUAUUUAUUAAAAUUACGGGGCUUCCCUGGUGGUCAGGUGGUUGCCAUGCCCUGCCUCUACUGCAGGCGUGGGUUUGAUCUCUGGUCAGGGAACUAAGAUCCUGCCGGCAGCAUAAUGUGGCCAAGAAAAAAAUUUAUUGGCUCAAGCAACUGGAAAGUUAAAGGGAGAUUUAACCCAAGUUGAUCCAGGAGUUUGAGUGGAUAUUUCCUCCUCUUCAUUGCUAACUCUGAGCCAGCUUAUUGUUUUGUUUUGUUUUUUAGCUUGGAAAUGUUUUAUUAUUUUUGUUAUUGUGAUUAAAAUAUAUGUAACUCAAAUUUGCCAUCUUAACCAUGUUCAAGUGUACAGUUCAGUGAUAUUAAGUACAUUCACAUUGUUCUGUAGCCUUUGUGCGUGCCUGCUAAGUCACUUCCGCUGUGUCCAGCUCUUUGUGACCCCAUGAACUGUAGCUGGCCAGGCUCCUCUGUCCAUGGGAUUCUCCAGGCAAGAACACUGCAGUGGGUUGUCAUGACCUCCUGCAGGGGUCUUCCUGACCCAGGGAUUGAACCAGCAUCUCUUACAUCUCCUGCAUUGGCAGGUGGGUUCUGUACCACUAGGGCCGCCAGGGAAGCCCCUCACCACAAUCCAACGCCAGUGCUGUUUCCUCUUCCUGAACCGAAAUCCUCCUCACGCAACAAUAGCUUGCAUAUUUCACGGCGGCACGAGCUGUGUCUGCAGUCCUGUUGUGCCUUCAGAUCCUGUGACUUGUGGCGUUUAGACAGCAUCACUUAUUCAUCACUAGGUAAAAUUUGGCCUAAAAAAAAAGGAUUUUUCCUAUUAUCCUAAAUUCCCAGGAUGCUGCCUCACAUUUUCACCAUUUCUGAGCUGUGGUUGCUGUUGAACCCCUAGUUCACCUGUGACUGCUCUGGAGUGGGAGUCCAGGCGUCUUUGGGGAACACAUGUGGAGGUUAAGACCCAGGGUCAAGUUUAGGUGAAGGUCACCCCAUCUAAAGCCUUGUUUGGGGUGGGAAGGGAGGAACGUCUCUAUUUUGCUACUGAGAACAGUGAGUUGACACCAGGAAAUAUCACGCCACAAACCUCUGGACUUCAGCUCAUUGUUUUUCUUCCUUUCUGAACCUCAUGCCUUUUAUUUCUUAGUUUUAACUUUUUGUUUUGUAUUGAGUAUAGUCAAUUAACAGUGUUGUGAUAAUUUCAGAUGGGCGGCAAAGCCAUACGUGCACGUGUCCAUUCUCCCCCAAAGGCCCCUCUCCUCCCAUCCAGCUGCCACAUAACACUGAGCAGAGUUCCCUGUGGUGCACAGUAGGUCUUUGUUAAUUAUCCAUUUUAAAUGCAGCUGUGUGCACUUGUCCAUCCAGCACUCCCUAGUUAUCCUUUACCUGCCCCGCCCCCCGCCAUGUGUCCCCCUGGUAACCGUAAGUUUGCUCUCUAAGUCUGUGAAUCUCUUUCUGGAAUAUAGCUCAUGUUAGAAAAGGUGUGGGGGUCCUGUCGCAAGGUUGGAAGGUGCUGCGAGGCCCCUGCCUCGGCCCCGUGGCCGGUGGGAGGCUGUCCCUGGCACACGGCCCUCCCGCCUGCAGGUGCCAGUCUUUCACGGGGCCAACUGUCACCCUUGCUGGGCUCAAGGCCCUGCCUGCCGUGCUGGGUACGCUCACGAGCAGCUGCCUCGCCGAAAACCUGGCUUUCAAAAUCUCUCUGAAAGAGAACAGCAUUCAAGAUUUCUAAUUUGUCUUUGGUCUUCCCAGGUGGCUCUAGUGGUAAAGAACCCACUUGCCAAUGCAGCUUAGAGGUAAGAGACACGGGUUCAAUCCCUGGGUCAGGAGGAUCCCCUGGAGGAGGGCAUGGAAACCCAGUCCAGUGUUCUUGCCUGGAGAACCCCGCAGACGAGAGGAGCCUGGCGGACUACAGUCCAUGGGGUUGCAAAGAGCUGGACGUGACUGAGUGAUUUAGCACGCGUGUGCGCGUGCACACACACACACACACACACACACAAUUUGUCUUUCAUCCAGUGGUCCCAGGACAAUUCUGGAGAGUAGAGCGGUCCCUCUAUGCACCCUGGUUUACUCUGCAAAGACCGUGUUGGGAAAUGGCAGUGUUUUUCUGUUUUAAAAUAAGUAGGUUUGGAAGGAGCUGGGAAACUGUGGGGUUUGGUUACAAAAUGACUGUAAUUGUGGGGGAAGUAUUUUCUUUCAAUUUUGAAAUACAUUAAACAAGAUACACAGUUUAGAGAUAAUUUGCUGUGGAGGAAGGCUCUUUCAUCCUCGAGCCGGGGGGAGACACUUCUCCCUGUGGGUAGGGUGGUCGUGGACACGGGGGCAGGGGACCCUAGGAGAACUUGAUCUUGUUCUCGCCCAAAUUCAAAGCCGCCAAGAUGGGUGAAGUAAUGUUGUGGGAGGAGAAAGCCCGUGCUUUUUCUCUCAUAAGGAGCAGGAGGGUGCCGGGCUGAGCACGGCUUAUCAGGAAGAGAAAAAUAACCCUGUUGUCAGACUCAUGCGGCUGCUCAUGGAUGCUGGGGGCAGCCACCUAGGGGCAGGGGUCACUGAGGACGCCGUGAUGGAUGGCCCUUCUCUUUGUCUACCCAGCUCUCAUCAGCAUCAUAAACGAAGGUCCACUGAAUGCCAUGCAAUGCCAAAUGCCAGGGAAGUCAGGACACAAAGAUUCGUUCUCACCCUCGCAAGGGGAGGGGCGGAGUUCCUGUACAGGACGAUACAUGAGGGGUGCCUGGUCAGUGGCCAAAGCCCAGGUCCCAGCCUGCCCUUGGGAGGAGAUAUGGGGGGACUCCAUCGGGCAGGAGUUGCUGUUGUUUAGUUGCUAAGUUGUGCCGACUUUGUGAGCCCAUGGGCUGGAGCCCUCUAGGCUCCUCUGUCCAUGGGAUUUCUCAGGCAAGAACACUGGAGUGGGUUGCCACUUCCUUCUCCAGGGGCUCUUCCCAAGCCAGGGAUUGAAUCCAGUCUCCUGCAUUGGCAGGCAGAUUCUUUACCACUGAGCCACCAGGGAAGCGUGGGGCAAGGGUUAUAGCAGUGCUUAUGGGAGGCAUGGGGCUUAGACAGUCUUGGGUGGCUUAGUUGAAAUGAGUCAAGCAGAAAGAGCACCCCAGCACAGACCCGCCUACAGAGGACAACAGGGUGAAUCAAGCUCCGGGGGUGGGGUUGCAUGGUGUGAGGGGGCAGUGGGGCCGCGACUGGCCUGAUGGGAGCGACAUGAAGGAGAAGGGAAGAGGGCCCUGGAGGCUGGAGGGUGAGCAGACUGUGCUCCAAGCGUUUGGACAAUGGACGUCUAGGAUGGUUCUGGGGGGUGAAUAGCUGAAGCUUUGUUUUAGACAAACAUGCUAGCGGUCCCCAGGCUCAUUCGUAGAGCCUGCGGCUCUUUCUCUGCUCACCCUCUAGGUGACCAGCGGAGCCUGGUUUUACGCUCCUUCUCAGGGCUGCCGGUUUGCAUCUGACCCCCGGCAGGCAUCUCUGUUCUGUCAGUGGUCUGAGCAUCAGGCAUACAUUUGGCUGCUUCUAGAAUGACAAGGAGGUUGGCAGGCAGGGUGUGACUUUUCAGUUUGCUCCUCAGUGACGCUGGAUUUGGGCUUCCCAGAUAAGGAACCCAUCUGCCAGUGCAGGAGAUGCGGGAGACAUGGGCCCAAUCCCUGGGUCACUAAGAUCCCUCGGAGGAGGAAAUGACAACCCACUCCACUCUUCUUGCCUGGAAAAAAUUCCAUGGACAGAGGAGACUGCUGGGCUGUAGUCCAGGGGCUUGCAAAGAGUCAGGCGUGACUUAGUGACUUAGAUUCAGCUAACCUCAGGUUGUGUAGAAAUGUAGUGUGUAUUUAUUGAAAAAAAAUCUGUGUACACAUGGACUUGUGCAGUUCAAAUCCAUGUUGUUCGUGUCAACUGUACUAUUACAUGUAGUGUGUGUGUGUGUGUGCACCCACACGCAAAACAUGAAAUACCCACUACACCUGGAGUAGGAAGUGGCAGCCCACUCUAGUAUUCUUGCCAGAUAAUCCCAUGGACAGAGGAGCCUGGCGGGCUACAGUCCAUGGUCCAAAGAGUAGGAUAGGGUUUGCCAACACUAUCCUAUAACACUAACACUUUCACACCCAGGAUGGAUUUUCUAGCUCCAAGUCACCCUUUGAGGAACUGCCUCAUUUUGUACUGCUUUGUAUAAAUAAAUGCUAUUGUUUAAGACCCCCCAAAAAAAGAAAGAAAAAAAUACCAACUACACACUGUCUUCUAUCCUGUAUAAGCCUUCAGUCUGGAGCGUCUCCUGAACUCCAGACACUCCAGCCAGUUGCCUGCUUCAUGUCUCCACCCGGACCUCA